CACGUAGGUGGUCCGGUAACUCAGUCGUGGAAUCCCGCCGCUCACCGGUGGAAUUGCGACUGAAAAUGCCAGACUUGAGCGCAGGAGGGGUGAGGGGAACUCUAGGUGGAGCGGUGAAAUGCGUAGAUAUCUAGAGGAACGCCGGAGGCGAAAGCGCCUCACUGGCCUGCUGCUGACACUGAGGUGCGAAACGCCGAGGGGAGACGAAACG
rnacentral:rRNA from 1 species